rnacentral:rRNA from 1 species
GUGCCAGCAGCCGCGGUAAGACGAACCGUGCGAACGUUGUUCGGAAUCACUGGGCUUAAAGGGCGCGUAGGCGGGCCGUCAAGUCCGCGGUGAAAUCCCCCGGCUCAACCGGGGGACGGCCGCGGAGACUGGCGGCCUCGAGGGGGGUAGGGGCGCGCGGAACGCCGGGUGGAGCGGUGAAAUGCGUUGAUAUCCGGCGGAACUCCGGUGGCGAAAGCGGCGCGCUGGGCCCCUUCUGACGCUGAGGCGCGAAAGCCAGGGGAGCGAACGGGAUUAGAUACCCGGGUAGUCC